GGGGAAUAUUGGACAAUGGGCGCAAGCCUGAUCCAGCCAUGCCGCGUGUGUGAAGAAGGCCUUAGGGUUGUAAAGCACUUUCAGUGGUGAGGAAGGCGUUGUAGUUAAUAGCUGCAACGAUUGACGUUAGCCACAGAAGAAGCACCGGCUAACUCCGUGCCAGCAGCCGCGGUAAUAUGGAGGGUGCGAGCGUUAAUCGGAAUUACUGGGCGUAAAGCGCACGUAGGCGGCUUGUUAAGCAAGAUGUGAAAGCCCAGGGCUCAACCUUGGAAUUGCAUUUUGAACUGGCAAGCUAGAGUUUUGAAGAGGGUGGUAGAAUUUCCAGUGUAGCGGUGAAAUGCGUAGAUAUUGGAAGGAAUACCAGUGGCGAAGGCGGCCACCUGGUCAAAAACUGACGCUGAGGAGCGAAAGCGUGGGGAGCAAAC
rnacentral:rRNA from 1 species